AAUUCAUGAAAUUACGUGCUUCAAAAUAACCGAGGAGUAAUUGUAGAUGUUCAAAAAUUGCAUUGCCUUCACUAACCUGAUCAACUUCUUUGUCUCGCAUCGGUUUCAGUCACCCAACUCAAAGGAACAUUACCUUCCAUUUUGCCUGAGCAGACGUCAAGGACUUCUAAAAUCCGACACAACUCUCUCACCAUGGCUACAGCCUCCUCUCCAUCAUUGAGAUCAGGCGCAAAAACAAGUUCUAUAAGAGGGAUUCCCGCUCGAUUCAAAUCAAUUAACGUCCUGAAAUUAAAGGAUAAAGAAUGAAAAAAAAUUUGGAAAACCGA